GACGAACGCUGGCGGCGUGCUUAACACAUGCAAGUCGAACGGUGAAGCGCCUUCCUUUUUGGUGGGUGUGGAUGAGUGGCGAACGGGUGAGUAACACGUGAGUAACCUGCCCCCUUCUUCUGGAUAACCGCAUGAAAGUGUGGCUAAUACGGGAUAUUCUGGGUCUGUCGCAUGAUGGGUCUGGGAAAGAUAUUGUUUCGGUGGGGGAUGGGCUCGCGGCCUAUCAGCUUGUUGGUGGGGUGAUGGCCUACCAAGGCGGUGACGGGUAGCCGGCCUGAGAGGGUGGACGGUCACACUGGGACUGAGACACGGCCCAGACUCCUACGGGAGGCAGCAGUGGGGAAUAUUGCACAAUGGGCGCAAGUCUGAUGCAGCGACGCCGCGUGAGGGAUGGAGGCCUUCGGGUUGUGAACCUCUUUCGCCAGUGAAGCAGGCCUGCCUCGUUUGUGGGUGGGUUGACGGUAGCUGGAUAAGAAGCGCCGGCUAACUACGUG
rnacentral:rRNA from 1 species